GUGAAAUUUUAAAUUAAAUAUAAGUUCUUUGUGAAUCUAUUGGGGGCUAAGAAGUUUAAGUUAAAAAACCAGGAUUAGAUACCCUGUUAUUAUAAAUCAUGUUUAAGUAGGGUAGUAAAAGUUGUCCUUCAAACCCAAAGAUUUUGGCGGCAUUUCAUCCUAAUAGAGGAGCUUGUUCUGUAAUUGAUAGUCCUCACUUUAUCUUACCCUUUCUUGUUUAGCUUGUAUACCGCCGUUGUCAGAUUACUUUAUAAGAAUGUUUUCAAUAAAAAUAUUUUUUUUUACUUCAGGUCAAGGUGCAGCUUAUGAAAGGGUAGUUAUGAGCUACAAUUUUUAAUAAAAAAUACGAAUUUCAGGCUUUAAAACCGGAGGAAGGUGGAUUUAUUAGUAAAUUUCAUUUAAGUAUAGUGGAAUGAAUAUGGCAAUGGAAUGUGCACAUAUCGCCCGUCACUCUCUUCUUNNGAGGAGAUAA
rnacentral:rRNA from 1 species